AGCUCUACUUACAGGUAGGGAGAACAAUCCAUAUUUCAUGCAUAAAUAAUGUGAUGUGCCAUUGGCAGACAUAAAAACAUAACACAUUUUUAAAGGUCACUACAUAAUUUUCUGAGUUUGCAUACUUGUGAGAAGGAAGAACUUCUAUUCUCUUUUCCUACUGCUAGCUAACCUAAGAAACCUGAAAUGGUUUGAAGGACUCCCUUGGGGUCCUAUACCAUACUUUGAAAAUCCUUGCUCUAUACCUGAAGCCCCCUAGCACUGGAAAGUAGAGGAAAAGGAAGUCUCAAAGGUAUGGAACUCCCUCCUUAUUGACAUAAAUCAUUGACCUGCAACAAUUUUGAGGAACAGAACAGAGUUGGUGAGAAAGGAGUGCUCUGUUUCAGUUUCUUUAGUUCUCUCAAGUCUCUAAGUUCUUCGGUGCUUUGGACAUUUCUGGC
rnacentral:lncRNA from 1 species